CAGCAGCCGCGGUAAGACAGAGGAUGCAAGCGUUAUCCGGAAUGAUUGGGCGUAAAGCGUCUGUAGGUGGCUUUUCAAGUCCGCCGUCAAAUCCCAGGGCUCAACCCUGGACAGGCGGUGGAAACUACCAAGCUGGAGUACGGUAGGGGCAGAGGGAAUUUCCAGUGGAGCGGUGAAAUGCGUUGAGAUCGAAAAGAACACCAACAGCGAAAGCACUCUGCUGGGACGACACUGACACUAAGAGACGAAAGCUAGGGGAGCAAAUGGGAUUAGAUACCCCGGUAGUCCCUGUCUCUUAUAC
rnacentral:rRNA from 1 species